GCGGGCGGCGGGCGGAAGGCAUCACUUUGUCCGGACUCUAAUUCAAAUUGUAUUCAUCCGAUCUUCACCAAACUUGGUCAGCAGUUGCAUCUAGUUGAUAUCUAGGCCAAGUUCGAAUAUGGGUCAUGCCGGGUCAAAAACUAGGUCAUAGGGUCAAUUAGUGCAUUUUCAACGGCGCCACUUUGUCCGGACUCUAAUUCAAAUUGUAUUCAUCCAAUCUUCACCAAACUUGGUCAGUAGUUGCAUCUAGUUGAUAUCUAGGUCAAGUCCGAAUAUGGGUCAUGCUGGGUCAAAAACUAGGUCAAAGGGUCAAUUAGUGCAUUUUACUUUGUCCGGACUCUAAUUCAAAUUGUAUAAAUCUUAUCUUCACCAAACUUGGUCAGUAGUUGCAUCUAGUUGAUAUCUAGGCCAAGUUCGAAUAUGGGUCAUGCCAGGUAAAAAACUAGGUCAUAGGGUCAAUUAGUCCAUUUUCAACAGCGCCACUUUGUCCGGACUCUUAUUCAAAUUGUAUUCAUCCGAUCUUUACCAAACUUGGUCAGUAGUUGCAUCUAGUUGAUAUCUAGGUCAAGUUCGAAUAUGGGUCAUGUCGGGUCAAGAACUAGGUCAUAGGGUCAAUUAGUGCAUUUUCAACGGCGCCACUUUGUCCGGACUCUAAUUCAAAUUGUAUUCAUCCGAAACUUUUAAACAACUUUUUAUCCUGCGUCAAAGUGGUAUGGGGGUAUAAGUCACAUUCAGUGACAAAGCUCUAGUUCAAGUUGAAUUCACCAAACUUGGUCAGAGGUAGUAUAUAGAUUAUAUAUCAGUCAGGUCUGAUUGGAGACAUGCAACCGAUUAACACAUGCAAUAUUUUUAUGCAAUAUUUUUAUCCAGUUUUAUUUUGCGAUAUUUUCAUCGGGUUUAUUUUUUUCGCGAUUUUUGAAACGAGUUAUUUUUAACAACAUGUUUAUUGGUAAGUUUCAUU